GAUGAAGAACGCAGCGAAAUGCGAUAAGUAAUGUGAAUUGCAGAAUUCAGUGAAUCAUCGAAUCUUUGAACGCACAUUGCGCCCGCCAGCAUUCUGGCGGGCAUGCCUGUUCGAGCGUCAUUUCAACCCUCGAGCCCCCCCGGGGGCCUCGGUGUUGGGGGACGGCACACCAGCCGCCCCCGAAAUGCAGUGGCGACCCCGCCGCAGCCUCCCCUGCGUAGUAACACACACCUCGCACCGGAGCGCGGAGGCGGUCACGCCGUAAAACGCCCAACUUUCUUAGAGUUGACCUCGGAUCAGGUAGGAAUACCCGCUGAACUUAAGCAUAUCAAUAAGCGGAGGA
rnacentral:misc_RNA from 1 species